UGGUGGGUAGUUUGACUGGGGCGGUCUCCUCCUAAAGAGUAACGGAGGAGCACGAAGGUUGGCUAAUCCUGGUCGGACAUCAGGAGGUUAGUGCAAUGGCAUAAGCCAGCUUGACUGCGAGCGUGACGGCGCGAGCAGGUGCGAAAGCAGGUCAUAGUGAUCCGGUGGUUCUGAAUGGAAGGGCCAUCGCUCAACGGAUAAAAGGUACUCCGGGGAUAACAGGCUGAUACCGCCCAAGAGUUCAUAUCGACGGCGGUGUUUGGCACCUCGAUGUCGGCUCAUCACAUCCUGGGGCUGAAGUAGGUCCCAAGGGUAUGGCUGUUCGCCAUUUAAAGUGGUACGCGAGCUGGGUUUAGAACGUCGUGAGACAGUUCGGUCCCUAUCUGCCGUGGGCGCUGGAGAAUUGAGGGGGGCUGCUCCUAGUACGAGAGGACCGGAGUGGACGCAUCACUGGUGUUCGGGUUGUCAUGCCAAUGGCACUGCCCGGUAGCUAAAUGCGGAAGAGAUAAGUGCUGAAAGCAUCUAAGCACGAAACUUGCCCCGAGAUGAGUUCUCCCUGACUCCUUGAGAGUCCUGAAGGAACGUUGAAGACGACGACGUUGAUAGGCCGGGUGUGUAAGCGCAGCGAUGCGUUGAGCUAACCGGUACUAAUGAACCGUGAGGCUUAACCUUACAACGCCGAAGCUGUU
rnacentral:rRNA from 1 species